UAGAUACUCCCUCCGUCCGAAAAAGCUUGUCCCAAGCUUAUUGCUCAAAUGAAUGUAUCUAGCACUAACUUGGUGUUAGAUACAUUCAUUUGAGGGACAAACUUUUUUGAACGGAGGAAGUAGAUG
rfam:Triticum urartu cultivar G1812 contig994322, whole genome shotgun sequence.